GCCCGUUUGGCUUAGGGGUACAGCGUCUCACUCGUAUGUUUGCGAUCAUGAGAAGAUCCGCGGUUCGAUUCCGCGAAUGGGCA
rnacentral:tRNA from 1 species